rnacentral:tRNA from 1 species
GCCCUUUUAGCUCGGCGGUAGAGUAACGCCAUGGUAAGGCGUAAGUCGUUGGUUCAAAUCUGACAAAGGGUU